UCUCUCUCUCUCUCUUCUCUUCUCUGCUCUUCUCUUCUCAUCUAUUCUCUCUCUCUAUAUCUCUAUCUACUUUUCUAUCUCUAUCUCUGUCACUCCUUCCUUUUCUCCUUCAACUCUUUCCUCCAUCUACCUCCUCCUUCCUUCCAUCCUUCUCCUCCCAUCUACUAUUCUUACUCAAUCCUCCCAUCCUCAUUUUCCUCCCUUCCUUCUCCUCCUGAAUUGGGGGAUCAUGUGAUUUUUUCCUCAUUUUAUUUUUAACUUUUCCUUCUUUUCCUCCUCUUCUUCUUCUUUCUAGUUGUUUCCCGCUUAUUUUCAAUGCUCUUAUCUCAUUUCCUUUCUUCUUUAUUUUGUUAUUUUCUUUAUUCUCUCCUUUCAUUCACUCAUUCAUUCAUUAUUUCUGUUUUUUUUCUGUUUUUUCUCAAAUUUUCAUUCCUUCCUUUCUUACUGCCGUUAUUAAAUUCUUCCUUAUUUCCUUUCUUUCUUUCUUUCUUUCUUUCUUUCUUUCUUUCUUCCUUCCUUCCUUUAUUCAUUCAUUCAUUCUCAAUCCCUUCUUACCUCACCAUUCUUUAUCACACACACACACACACACACACACACACACACAUACCCCCCUCCCCUGACAUACACACAUUACCCUUCCUCCCCUAAUCCCAAAGCACACACAUACACACAUACACACAUCCAUCAACCACCACCACCACCACCACCACUACCACAACCUAAGCCACUCCGAUCCAACCGAUUCCAUAAGUCUGAGCUAACGAGACCCAUCACAGCGGAACGUUCUCCUCCUGCUGCUUGUGAUCGUAAGGACAAAAUCACGUGACCUGCUUCCGAAUGAGAGAGAGAGAGAGAGAGAGAGAGAGAGAGAGAGAGAGAGAGAGGAGGUUAGUAUUUGUCUAUUUUCUUCCUAUUUCUUCGUUUUCCUUCCUAUUCCCUAUUCUUGAAGCUACGAAUGGAAGAGACAAACAGAAGAAGAGAGAAAGGAGGUGAGAAAGAAAAUGAGAGAAAGAAAGAGAGCAAGGUUGUCCAUUUUCUUGCUUUUCUUUGAUUUCUUUCUUAUUUACUUAUUUUUAGGUCUAUGAGAGAGAGAGAGAGAGAGAGAGAGAGAGAGAGAGAGAGAGAGAGAGAGAGAGAGAGAGAGAGAGAGAGAGAGAGAGGGGAGACUAAGGUAACUAAGUAAGGUAAUUUUACUCUUCUUUAAAUCCUAAUGGAACAAAACAACCAAUUACUCACAAGCCAAGUGUGUGUGUGUGUGUGUGUGUGUGUGUGUGUGUGUGUGUGGUUAUGACCGUGCUUGCCUUGCCUUGUUUUCCCUCGCCUGUGUUUUAUCUCCCUGUGUUUUUUUUCGGUGUUUUUUUUUCCUCUGGACCUCAAAGUGUUCGGUGUAUUACGGAAAAAGACCCAUUACGUGUGUGUGUGUGUGUGUGUGUGUGUGUGUGUGUGUGUGUGUGUGUGUGUGUGUGUGUGUGUGUGUGUGUGUGUGUGUUUUAAUCUCACAAACUGUACUGCCCCGCUUAAUGUAAUGGGUAGCGGUGGUGUGUGUGUGUGUGUGUCUGUGUGUGUGUUAAUAUGUGUUGAGGUUUGUGUUUGAGGCGAAGGCGAGGAAGGGAGAGACUGACUAGGUGUGUGUUGAAGGGAGAAAAGUGUUUGCAAAGGUGUAUACGAUGAACAUGUGUGUGUGGAAAAGAACUAAAACAUGAAAAAGAGUUGACAUGACGAAAAUGGAAUAAGAAAUGAAAUACUACUAAAACUACGAACAUGUGUGGGGGAAAAGACUAUAUAAAAAAAAGAAGUUCACAUGACAAAAAUGGAACACGAAAUGGAAUACUAUGAAAAUGUGGAAAUAAUGAAAAAGUGGAUAUCAAGAAGAAAAAAGUGGAUUGUAUAUAAAAAAAGGAUAUUAUAUGAAAAAGUGAAUAUAAUAAAGGAUAAUACUAAAAACUUAUACAUGACAAAAAAGCGUAAUUAAGAAAAUGAUGUACUGCAAAAAGGUGUUCUUAGGAAGGUAUAUAUGAGAAGGUGCCAAGGAGAAGGUGCCAAGGAGAAGGUGCCAAGGAGAAGGUACCAAGGAGAAGGUGCCAAGGAGAAGGUGCCAAGGAGAAGGUGCCAAGGAGAAGGUGCCAAUAUAAAAAAAGGCACACUAAAAAAAAAAAAAAACAUCAAGGAACCGUAAAUAAGACAGUUGAAAAAAAAAGGAACUCUUAAAACAAUUGCGUUGGAUAAAGGUCAGCAGAAACGUCAAUACAAAAGGUGAUAUAUUAAGGUGUGUCAGUAUAUUGUUGAAGAGUGCGUUGAAAAAGAAAAGGUCAGUUGAAAAGGUGUUAGAAAAGAUAUGUUAAAAGGUUAUAUAUAAAGGUGUGUUAGUAGAUUGUCGAAGAGUGCGUUGGAAAGGAAAAGGUCAGUUGAAAAGGUGUUAGAAAAGAUAUGUUAGAAGGGGAUAUAUUAAGGUGUGUCAGUAUAUUGUUGAAGAGUGCGUUGAAAAGGAAAGGUCAGUUGAAAAGGUGUAAGAAAAGAUAUGUUAAAAGGUAAUAUAUAAAGGUGUGUUAGUAGAUUGUCGAAGAGUGCGUUGAAAAAGAAAAGGUCAGUUGAAAAGGUGUUAGAAAAUAUAUGUUAAAAGGUAAUAUAUGAAGGUGUGUUAGUAGAUUGUCGAAGAGUGCGUUGGAAAGGAAAAGGUCAGUUGAAAAGGUGUAAGAAAAGAUAUGUUAAAAGGUAAUAUAUAAAGGUGUGUUAGUAGAUUGUCGAAGAGUGCGUUGAAAAGGAAAAGGUCAGUUGAAAAGGUGUUAGAAAAGAUAUGUUAAAAGGUUAUAUAUUUAGAGUGUGUUGGAAAGGAAAGGUCAGUUGAAAAGGUGUUAGAAAAGGUGUGUUAAAAGGCGCAAACUCAUCAGUAAGGUGUUUUGCCCUCCUUUGCUGAAACACUGAGAAGAAGGAAGAGGAAGAGGAAGAGGAGGAGGAGGAGGAAGUGCGUGUGAGCGUGUCUAAACUAUAAACUGCUCCUCCGCACGCAAACUCACGCAAAAGCACACGCACGCACACAUACACACACAGACGCACACACAGAACCUCUCCACACACAUACACACACAAGAAAAGGAAAAAGAAAAAAAAUGACCUCGAAAAACAGUGCAACAAGACAAGACAGUGAUAUACAAACGAAAAAAAGAAAACAAAACAAAAAGAAAACAAAAGAAAUGACAGGAAAGUGUGUUAGUCUUAAGGUCGUAAAUUUUAAGGUUUUCUAACAAAGAUAAAAAAAAACGAUAAAAAAACGAGAAAAAACAGUGCUUAUAAGUUUUCCUAAUAAACGAAUGUAAACAAAAAAAAUAUAUAUGUAAAAAAAUUCAAACAUUUUUUUCUACGUGUUUGGAGUGUGUGUGUGUGUGUGUGUGUGUGUGUGUGUGUGUGUGUGUGUGUGUGUGUGUGUGUGUGUGUGUGUGUGUGUAAAGGUGUUUUAUGUGUUGUAUAUAAAUAAAUAAACAAAAUGGUACAUACAUAUAUAAAUAUAUAUACAUAAACUUAUCUACACAUCUAUGUUAUGUUAAUCCUCUUGUAUAUAACGUGUGUGUGUGUGUGUGUGUGUGUGUGUGUGUGUGUGUGUGUGUGUGUGUGUGUUCCCACCAGGUGUUAUGUACAGGUAAAGGUGAGAUAAGGUGAUAAUUAGCUUUCUCUACUGUUUCACUCUCUUUUCUUCUUCUUCUUCUUCUUCUUCUUCUUCUUUUUUCUUCUUCUUUUUCUUAAAUAUCUUACUUUAUCGAUUUCUUACUUCCUUUCCCUCUCCGCAUUCUCCUCCUCCUUCUCUUUUGCUACCUUACUUUUUCCCUUUUCAUACAUUUCCUCCUUUCAUUCUUCAUUCUUUCUGUUUUUCUUCAUUAUUUUCCUCUUUUCUCUAAUUCAUUCCUUUUUCGUUUUAAUUCUCCGGUUUUUUUCCUUCAUUCUCUGCCUUCUCAUUUUUUUCUCUCCUCUUCCUCCUCUUGUUUAUUGUCCACUUUUCUUAUUCUUGUUUUCUGUUCCUUCUUCCUCUAUUUCUUCUCUAUUUUUCUUUCCAAUAUAUUUUCCGUGCGUCUUCAAUCUUCAUAUCUUUUCCUUUUUAUCUUUUCCUUUUCAUCAUUUUCUUUUUUUAAUUCUCACGCAACAUUUUUUUCCUUCCUCAAUCUGUCUUUCACUUUCACUCUCUUCCUCUCCUUCUCACCUUCAUCACUUCCACCUCCAAUUAGUCCAAAAGGGUGAAGGUGAGGCGAGAAUCAUUACCUGUAUUUUGUAUUGAUGAAGAUGAUGGUGAAAGUGAAGAUGCUGGUAAGGAUGGUAAGGAAGGUAAUAAUGUUUGUGAUAAUGAUGGUGAAGAUGAUGGUGAUGAUGAUGGUGUUGUAUCCAUUUUCCUUUUUACUCGACGUCAUGAUCAAAUGUUGGGUGUUGUUGGCUUACCUUAAUUGGUCCAGGUGUGAUGUUACCUGUCAUCUAUCCUCCUCCUCCUCCUCCUCCUCCUCCUUCUUCUCUUCCAUUCUUCCUCUUCCUUCCUCUUCUUUCUCUUCCCUACUUUCAUCCUCUUUCAUCUUCGUGUCUCCUAAUUACUUGUACCCUGCACCUCUUCCUCAUCCUCCCCUUCCUCUUCCUUCCUCUUCUCUCUCUUCCCUGCUUUCAUCCUCUUCCUUCCUUGUGUCUCCUAAUUACCUGUGCAAUCUUCCUCUUCCUCUUCCUCUUCCUCUCCUCUUCUUCCUCCCUUUUUCUUUCUUUCCUACGUUCCCAUCCCAUUCUUUUCACUUCCUCUCUCUACCUUCUUCAGAUCCUUCCCCUCUUCCUCCUCUUCCUCCUCCUCUUCCUCCUCCUCCUCCUCGUCUCGUCAAGCCAACACGCAGCACCCAAUCUCGAUGUACCAUUCAUGUUGUUCUUUUAUAUAAGGAAGAAGAAGAAGAGGAGGAGGAGGAGGAGGAGGAGGAGGAGGGAUGGAAGGAGUUUAUGUAUGUAUAGCCUGUUUACUUUUACUCACCUCCUCUUUCUUCCUCCUCCUCCUCCUCCUCCUCCUCCUCCUCCUCCUCCGAGCGGUAUAUAUUUACAUACAUCAAAUAGUUCUGCACUAGGAUGUUGUUUAUUUCUGGUCUGUUGAGUGUUAAGACGUCCAGCCACACACACACACACACACACACACACACACACACACACACACACACACACACAUUUCUGGAGGAUGAAUGGGGCUGACAGGCUUUCCACAGUGUGUGUAUGUGAAUGCGUGCGUGUGUGUGUGUGUGUGUGUGUGUGUGUGUGUGUGUGUGUGUGUUUCCCCCUCGCUAAUGUCCUUCACAGCUGGUCUCCUUUCCUCUGUACGUGUGUGUGUGCGUGUGUGUGUGUGUGUGUGUGUGUGUGUGUGUGUGUGUGUGUUCCCGGGCGUCUAAUGUCGUGUAACAGCAUAAACAUAACGACUGUUUUUAGAUAACAAAUAAAAGAAUGUUAUUUCC